GACGAACGCUGGCGGCGUGCUUAACACAUGCAAGUCGAACGGAAAGGCCCUGCUUUUGUGGGGUGCUCGAGUGGCGAACGGGUGAGUAACACGUGAGUAACCUGCCCUUGACUUUGGGAUAACUUCAUGAAACUGGGGCUAAUACCGGAUAGGAGCUCCUGCUGCUUGGUGGGGGUUGGAAAGUUUCGGCGGUUGGGGAUGGACUCGCGGCUUAUCAGCUUGUUGGUGGGGUAGUGGCUUACCAAGGCUUUGACGGGUAGCCGGCCUGGGAGGGUGACCGGCUACAUUGGGACUGAGAUACGGCCCAGACUCCUACGGGAGGCAGCAGUGGGGAAUAUUGCACAAUGGGCGGAAGCCUGAUGCAGCAACGCCGCGUGCGGGAUGACGGCCUUCGGGUUGUAAACCGCUUUCGCCUGUGACGAAGCGUGAGUGACGGUAAUGGGUAAAGAAGCACCGGCUAACUACGUG
rnacentral:rRNA from 1 species